GCCGAUUUUGCCGAAGCAUUGGCAUCUAAGAUGCCAGGAAACCUCAAGGUAGUAUAUUUUGUAAAUUCAGGGACAGAAGCAAAUGAAUUAGCAAUGUUGAUGGCACGAUUGUACAGCGGUCACUUAAAUAUGAUUGCCUUGAGGAAUGCAUAUCAUGGUGGAAGCUCUAACACGAUUGGGCUAACUGCUCUUAACACAUGGAAGUACCCUAUUCCACAGGGUGAAAUCCAUCACGUUAUGAAUCCUAACCCAUAUCGUGGAGCAUUUGGAUCCGAUGCUAAACGAUAUGCUGAAGAUGUACAGAAUCACAUUGAUCAUGGUACUUCAGGAAAGGUUGCUGGUUUUAU
rnacentral:misc_RNA from 1 species